CGCGUAGGCGGCUUGGUAAGUCAUCUGUGAAAUCCCGGUGCUCAACGCCGGGGCUGCAGGUGAGACUGCCUGGCUAGAGCUUGGUAGGGGCGAGUGGAAUUCCCGGUGUAGCGGUGGAAUGCGUAGAGAUCGGGAAGAACACCAGUGGCGAAGGCGGCUCGCUGGGCCAAUGCUGACGCUGAUGCGCGAAAGCGUGGGGAGCAAACAGGAUUAGAUACCCUGGUAGUCCACGCUGUAAACGAUGGGUACUAGGCGUCGGGGGGAGCGACCCCUUCGGUGCCGUCGCUAACGCAGUAAGUACCCCGCCUGGGGAGUACGGCCGCAAGGCUGAA
rnacentral:rRNA from 1 species